rnacentral:tRNA from 1 species
AAAAAGAUAAGCUAAAUAAGCUAAUGGGUUCAUACCCCAUAUAUAUAAAUUUUAAUUUUUUUCUUUUUA